CCUACGGGGGGCAGCAGUGAGGAAUAUUGGUCAAUGGACGAGAGUCUGAACCAGCCAAGUAGCGUGAAGGAUGACUGCCCUAUGGGUUGUAAACUUCUUUUAUAUGGGAAUAAAAUGUUCCACGUGUGGGAUUUUGUAUGUACCAUAUGAAUAAGGAUCGGCUAACUCCGUGCCAGCAGCCGCGGUAAUACGGAGGAUCCGAGCGUUAUCCGGAUUUAUUGGGUUUAAAGGGAGCGUAGGUGGAUUGUUAAGUCAGUUGUGAAAGUUUGCGGCUCAACCGUAAAAUUGCAGUUGAAACUGGCAGUCUUGAGUACAGUAGAGGUGAGCGGAAGUCGUGGUGUAGCGGUGAAAUGCUUAGAUAUCACGAAGAACUCCGAUUGCGAAGGCAGUUCACUGGACUGCAACUGACACUGAGGCUCGAAAGUGUGGGUAUCAAACAGGAUUAGAUACCCUUGUAGUC
rnacentral:rRNA from 1 species